rnacentral:rRNA from 1 species
AAUGAACGUUGGCGGCGCGCCUAACACAUGCAAGUCGAGCGAGAAAGCUCCUUCGGGAGUAAGUACAGCGGCGGACGGUUGAGUAACACGUGAGAAUCUGCCCUUCAGUGAAGAAUACCCUCGAGAAAUCGAGGCUAAUACUGCAUACGUCCCUUCGGGGAGAAAGAUGGCCUCUUUGCUGUCGCUGAAGGAUGAGCUUGCGGACUAUCAGCUAGUUGGUGGGGUAAAGGCCUACCAAGGCUAUGACGGUUAGCCGGCCUGAGAGGGUGAUCGGCCAGACUGGAACUUAGACACGGUCCAGACUCCUACGGGAGGCUG